UUGGUGGCGAGUGGCGGACGGGUGAGUAACGCGUAGGAAUCUACCCAAUAGCGGGGGAUAGCCCGGGGAAACUCGGAUUAAUACCGCAUACGCCCCACGGGGGAAAGGCCGGGAUCUUCGGACCGGUCACUAUUGGAUGAGCCUGCGUAAGAUUAGCUAGUUGGUAGGGUAAAGGCCUACCAAGGCGACGAUCUUUAGCUGGUCUGAGAGGGCGACCGGCCACACUGGGACUGAGACACGGCCCAGACUCC
rnacentral:rRNA from 1 species